GACGAACGCUGGCGGCGUGCUUAACACAUGCAAGUCGAGCGGAAAGGCCCUUCGGGGUACUCGAGCGGCGAACGGGUGAGUAACACGUGAGUAACCUGCCCCAGACUUUGGGAUAACACUCGGAAACGGGGGCUAAUACCGGAUACGACACAGCUUCGCAUGGGGUCUGUGUGGAAAGUUUUUCGGUUUGGGAUGGGCUCGCGGCCUAUCAGCUUGUUGGUGGGGUGAUGGCCUACCAAGGCGACGACGGGUAGCCGGCCUGAGAGGGCGACCGGCCACACUGGGACUGAGACACGGCGCAGACUCCUACGGGAGGCAGCAGUGGGGAAUAUUGCACAAUGGGCGGAAGCCGGAUGCAGCGACGCCGCGUGAGGGAUGACGGCCUUCGGGGUGUAAACCUCUUUCAGCAGGGACGAAGCGUAAGUGACGGUACCUGCAGAAGAAGCGCCGGCCAACUACGUG
rnacentral:rRNA from 1 species